rnacentral:rRNA from 1 species
UACAGAGGGUGCGAGCGUUAUCCGGAAUCAUUGGGCGUAAAGCGCCUGUAGGUUGUUUAAUAAGUCUGUUGUUAAAGACUAGGGCUCAACCCUAGAAAAGCAAUGGAAACUACUAGACUAGAGUAUGGCAGGGGUAGAGGGAAUUUCUAGUGUAGCGGUGAAAUGCGUAGAUAUUAGAAAGAACACCAGUGGCGAAAGCGCUCUACUGGACCAUUACUGACACUCAGAGGCGAAAGCUAGGGUAGCAAAAGGG